UGUGGUUUAGUUGCUAGAGGCUUGUCUAGCAUGCAUGAAGCUCUGGGUUCAAUUCCCAGAACCACAU
rnacentral:tRNA from 1 species